AUGUACACAAAAAGGAUAUUGGAUACACUCCGCUUCUACCAUCUCGGAGUCGAUGAUCCGACAAUCGUGCCAUCCACUUCACAACACGCCGACGAGACUGCCGCCUACGAGUGGCAUCCCUCGCGCGGCCUACCAAUCUCCAUAAUGCUCGCCAUGUUCCCCCCGGAGUGCAUCGGAUCUGGGCAGCAUGGGUGCCAAGUAUGUCGCCCCCCGACCACCCCAAAGCGCGACGACGCUCUUCUCUGCCGCACCCUGAUAACAAGCGACGCCGCCAUGUAUAUAUCUAGAAAGAAAAAUGAACAAAUUCAACCACAUGAACACUAG
rnacentral:rRNA from 1 species